AUUUUGAAUCCAUGGGAUUCAUGUAGAUGGGUUUAACAAAAUGGCAUAUUUGGUGCCAAGAUUUCUUAUGUGAUUAUAACAUUUUGGAAUGAUUCUUUCUUAUUUAUUUAUAUAGGUUAGCUUGUUAGUACACACUCCACUGUUAGCCACACCCUACUUGGGAAUCGAUACCAAGACCUUAGUGUUGAAAUGCGGUUAUUUUCACCCAGUCUACCAUUUUGGAAUGAUUCCUCACUCCAAGCUUUGCUUGGUGUGAAUAUACAACUUCCUACUUAUAACUAACUUAUAGGUCACUCAAACAAAAAAACUUACCUGUAAGUGAUAACUUACAUCUAAACAGGAUUACUUGUAACUGACUUGUAAGCCACUUAAACUUAAAGAACUUACAUGCAUCCAAACAGGCCCUAAACUGUGUUUGGAUGCUGAGAAGUGGGGUUUGGACUCGGUAAGCAAUUAAAAAACACGACUGUUGGGCUGGAAUUGGUAAGCAUGGAAGUUGCAAACCACUGUCUGUCCAGGAAUUGAAAAGUGCAUCUUUUGUUGUAAUUGAACUGCAAUUACAGCUGGAAUUCAAUUCUCACAUUUUAAGCCCCCCGGAGGCUAGAAUUUGCCGAAAGAAUUUGGGUUCCAAAUCCAGAUGCCCCAAAAGAUCCUUCUGAGUUCUAUUAGUGCCUUUAUUGCGUCGAAUAACUUCCUAAAAUGAUUUAAUUUAAAAAUGCUACCUGACUGUAUUAUGUCGGGAAAAGAGGUCGAUUAAUAUUUUUCAGGGAAAAAAACAGUUUGGUAUAGUCGCCUGCUUUCCAUGGUGCCUUGCUGUGAAAGUAAGACAUUCAUAUAUCAGCGCCAUUAGUCAUUUUUGUGGGCUGCAUUAGCAUUCUAACUGUUCCUAAUGUAGCCAACAUAUGGUGGCGUUGUCAUCCAAAAUAUCAGUUUAAUGGAUUUUUCAGUAGCACGCAAACAUGCUCAACUUUUCAUUUUAUGAAUUUAUGGUCUCUUUGUAGUAUAAAUCAUUUUCCAUUUCAGGAUCUCCAUUUAAGCCCGUGGUUCAAUGAUUGCAACCGUUCAUGUUUUGGAUGCUAUGCAAGAGGGGCAAUCAUAUGAAACAUUCGCUAAACAAGUGAUUUUGACCAUCACUAUCCGUAUAUGGCUUUAGAAUAUUGAAGAGAAAUUUUAGUUGCUCUUAUUCAACUCCAAGAAUCCAAUGUCAAGAUCAUAUCAUUGAAGUGUUAUUAUUGGAACAUAGCAUUUUUUAUGCUAGCAUUGGGAGCAUGGAUGGUUCAGAUCACUUGACCAUCUCUACAUGUGCGCCCAACAGUCUAGCGCCUGCUGGCCAUCCUGAGUCGCAACAUAGUCAAAAUGAACUAGAAAGUCAGGGCAUUCGCUUGUCAAGUGGGCCAAACUGGCAAGGUGAAUAUGGACUAUUGGCAAGUUUUUCUAAAAGGUCCAUUGUCUUCUCACAUUCAUGGAUCUCCUAAUGAGCUGGGCAAAUUUGAUUCUCAAGAAACAUCAUCUAUCAGGUUAGUCCUGUUAGGAUAGGAUCUGUACCUAUGUGUUGUACAUAGGUAUAUUAUCUAUUAAGAUACAGGUAAUCUACAUGCAUUCCCUUCUAGUGAAAAGCUGCAGAAUUGUCCCCUCGGAUUUCUAUCUUAAAACAAUCAAUCCGCACAAUCAUCAAUAUCCAUGAAUUUUUGACCUCCAUAUCCACCAUCUUCUUUAGGUUACCCAUGUUAUUAUGAUGCAGUGCCUCCUGUACCUCAUUCAAUAGUAGAUCAUUCACAGAGCAUGGGAGGUACCUCGUGGGCCUUAAAUUUGCCAGUACCUCAGCCUGUUUCAUGUGCAGCAUCAGCAAGAAAUGCUGCUGAUGUGGGAGUAUCACAGAUUCACAAGUUCAUCCCAGAGACGAAGUGAUGCAGAUCAAUCAUCCUUGCCAUUUUCAGCACGAAAUUAAGCAGGGUUAUUUCUGCGCUGGAGACCUACACACUGGAACGAGAUGAACCACCUCCCACAAUUAAAGACCUGUUGAAGCAUUCAUGACUAAUUCUAAGCCCAACCUUAAUAGCUUCCAAGUUCCAACUCCGCGCAGUUUGAAUCUCUACUAUUUGUCUGACCAGAGAACACGAGCUCAUUAGCUACUUUAUCAUCCCCUGCACAACAAUACUGAUACCAGAAUAUCACGCGUCCCUCUAUGAAAACUCAUCAGCAUUCAUUUUUUGCCACCUGAGUGGUGGUGGUGAAGACUGUGUCUGUUCUGUAUAUGAUGUUAUUGAAUUUGAGCUCGGGUGACUGUGAGGAUUACUGCUGAUGCCAUUGCAGAUGAAGAGUUCUAGAGCAACAAGGGAAGGAUAGAGGUAAACAUGCUCUUGAGAUUUGGAAAUGAUGUGCAAGUCUUACUUGCAUAUUGUAGCCUUUCAUAUCAUGGAUGGUAUGAACUUACAUUUUGUAUUAACAAUCUUUAUUAGGAUCACCUUACCUCUCAUUAACAUAGCUUUACCUCUUUCUUUUUUGAUGGAAUAGAAAUAGGAGCAAUGCCCUUUGUGCCCUGGACAUUUCCUUUUAAUUUGUCGAACUGGAUGUUUGUGCCCACGUCUUUGUUUGGGAUUUGUGGAAAAUGCCAACUCACAAACUAAU